AUCCCAUUAUGCUGACACUUUCUCACUAUCUCCUUGAAUCUUUCUCAAGCCUCGAAAACUGUUUCAGUGUCCUUCUGGCAGAAGUUUUAAAUUUUCCUUCUGAAUUU
rfam:Nicotiana attenuata strain TT chromosome 11, whole genome shotgun sequence.